rnacentral:siRNA from 1 species
ACAUCUCACCUAAUUGGAUUGACA